UACAGAGGUGGCAAGCGUUGUUCGGAAUUACUGGGCGUAAAGGGCGCGUAGGCGGCCUGCUAAGUCGGAUGUGAAAUCCCUCGGCUCAACCGAGGAACUGCAUCCGAUACUGGCGGGCUUGAAUCCGGGAGAGGGAUGUGGAAUUCCUGGUGUAGCGGUGAAAUGCGCAGAUAUCAGGAAGAACACCCGUGGCGAAAGCGGCUCUCUGGAACGGUACUGACGCUGAGACGCGAAAGCGUGGGGAGCGAACAGG
rnacentral:rRNA from 1 species